rnacentral:rRNA from 1 species
GACGAACGCUGGCGGCGUGCUUAACACAUGCAAGUCGAACGGAAAGGCCCUGCUUUUGUGGGGUGCUCGAGUGGCGAACGGGUGAGUAACACGUGAGUAACCUGCCCUUGACUUUGGGAUAACUUCAGGAAACUGGGGCUAAUACCGGAUAGGAGCUCCUGCUGCAUGGUGGGGGUUGGAAAGUUUCGGCGGUUGGGGAUGGACUCGCGGCUUAUCAGCUUGUUGGUGGGGUAGUGGCUUACCAAGGCUUUGACGGGUAGCCGGCCUGAGAGGGUGGCCGGCCACAUUGGGACUGAGAUACGGCCCAGACUCCUACGGGAGGCAGCAGUGGGGAAUAUUGCACAAUGGGCGGAAGCCUGAUGCAGCAACGCCGCGUGCGGGAUGACGGCCUUCGGGUUGUAAACCGCUAUCGCCUGUGACGAAGCGUGAGUGACGGUAAUGGGUAAAGAAGCACCGGCUAACUACGUG